GGGCGCCUGGCGAAAUGGCAUCGCGUCUGACUACGAAUCAGGAGAUUGCAGGUUCGACCCCUGCGGUGGUCA
rnacentral:tRNA from 1 species